rnacentral:misc_RNA from 1 species
GGAAGAAGCAAUUCCAACAGGAGGUGAGGUGCCUCAAUAACUUAAUUGGGAAGUGUUAUUGGAACCUUGUUUAUUUAAUGUUCUUUCCAAUUUGAUAAUGCAUAGGUUGAGGUUUUGAGCUGCAUCAGACAUCCAAACAUGGUCCUUCUUCUUGGAGCCUGCCCUGAGUACGGAUGCUUGGUAUAUGAAUACAUGGAAAAUGGCAGCUUGGAAGAUAGGCUGCUUCGAAGAGACAACACCCAUCCAAUUUCAUGGAGGAGAAGAUUUAAGAUAGCUUCUGAGAUUGCAACUGCCCUUCUAUUCCUCCACCAAGCAAAGCCAGAGCCCCUUGUCCAUCGGGACCUUAAACCAGCUAACAUCCUCUUAGACCGUAAUUUUGUGAGCAAGAUUAGUGAUGUUGGCCUGGCACGGUUAGUCCCACCAUCAGUAGCUGAUAGUGUCACUCAAUAU